rnacentral:lncRNA from 1 species
CUAAACUAGAGGCUCUAAAGAGCCUGUGUCGCUCACCUUGGUCUAUGUGACUAUUAAACAAAGGAAGCAGAUGGAUUCAUGACAAAAUUGUAUUUUGGUGAUGGUGAUGUGUUUGUACAUCUUACUUUACUGAACAUCCUUGCUGCUUACAAUUAUCUCUAUCUAUAAUGAACUUGGCCCAGUAGUUUCAGUGGAAAAUGUAAGUAAAAAUUUACAAAUUUUAUAAAAAUUGUUGAAAAUUGACUAUAAAGGACAAUAACUCCUUAGAGGAUCAAUUGACCAUUUCUGUCAUGUUGACUUAUUUGUAAAUCUUACUUUGCUGAACAUUAUUGCUGUUUACAGUUUAUCUCUAUCUAUAAUAAUAUUCAAGACAAUAACCA